GAUGAACGCUGGCGGCGUGCCUAAUACAUGCAAGUCGAGCGAACAGACGAGGAGCUUGCUCCUCUGACGUUAGCGGCGGACGGGUGAGUAACACGUGGAUAACCUACCUAUAAGACUGGGAUAACUUCGGGAAACCGGAGCUAAUACCGGAUAAUAUAUUGAACCGCAUGGUUCAAUAGUGAAAGACGGUUUUGCUGUCACUUAUAGAUGGAUCCGCGCCGCAUUAGCUAGUUGGUAAGGUAACGGCUUACCAAGGCAACGAUGCGUAGCCGACCUGAGAGGGUGAUCGGCCACACUGGAACUGAGACACGGUCCAGACUCCUACGGGAGGCAGCAGUAGGGAAUCUUCGGCAAUGGGCGAAAGCCUGACGGAGCAACGCCGCGUGAGUGAUGAAGGUCUUCGGAUCGUAAAACUCUGUUAUUAGGGAAGAGCAAAUGUGUAAGUAACUAUGCACGUCUUGACGGUACCUAAUCAGAAAGCCACGGCUAACUACGUG
rnacentral:rRNA from 1 species